AAGCUGUUCCUGAAGUUCCUCUGCCUCUUUGAAAUCCUGUCUGUAUUUUUGGUAGUUCUUGAUCCACAUACUGAUGGAGCCUAGCUUGUAGGAUUUUAAGCAUAGCUUUACUAGCAUGUGAAAUGAGUGCAAUGGUGUGAUAGUUUGAACAUUCUUUCGCAUUGCCUUUCUUUGGAAUUGGAAUGUAAACUGACCUUUUCCAAUCCUGUGGCCACUAUUGUGUUUUCCAAAUUUGCUGGCAAAUUAUAGUUUGUUGAAUAAAACACACUAAAUCAUAUAUUCUCCAAUUUCACUGAAUUUCUUCAAAUGUAUAAGAAUAUAGCAGAAUCAAACAAAUGUAAACUUUCAAGAAGAAAUGGCAUAAACAACUUUGGAUCAUCUACUUAAGUGAGGGAAUGUUUUCCGAAUUUGACACAAAAUCAGGUAAGAUAGCUAAUAUCCUAGAAAAGAGAAAUAAAAUAUAACCUAAACAGCUUACAGAAAUUGGUUGAAAGUAACAAAGUAACAUUUAACAAAUGAAAAGUUCCUCACCUAGAAAACAAAACAACAAAUGCCAACUAAAGAGAACCAUUACCUGACUGAGUAACUGUAUCUGUAAAAUAAAAUUUCUUUUGGUCUGCCUCCAACUUCAAGUAAUUUGUCUAAUACUCAGCAGAGGAUAAACUAGAACAGAUUCAGAGGUACAUUUUAUGAAAAGAAAUUGAUCUUGUAAUGUUU